rnacentral:piRNA from 1 species
UUCUUACUGAAGGAACCCACCCAG